GAUGAACGCUGGCGGCGUGCCUAAUACAUGCAAGUCGAGCGAACAGACGAGGAGCUUGCUCCUCUGACGUUAGCGGCGGACGGGUGAGUAACACGUGGAUAACCUACCUAUAAGACUGGGAUAACUUCGGGAAACCGGAGCUAAUACCGGAUAAUAUAUUGAACCGCAUGGUUCAAUAGUGAAAGACGCUUUUGCUGUCACUUAUAGAUGGAUCCGCGCCGUAUUAGCUAGUUGGUAAGGUAACGGCUUACCAAGGCAACGAUGCGUAGCCGACCUGAGAGAGUGGUCGGCCACACUGGAACUGAGACACGGUCCAGGCUCCUACGAGAGGCAGCAGUAGGGAAUCUUCCGCAAAAGUCGAAAGCCUUACGGAGCAACGCCGCGUGAGUGAUGAAGGUGUUCGGAUCGUAAAAAUCUGUUAUGAGGUAAGAACAAAUGUGUAAGUAACUAUGCACGACUUGACGGUACCUGAACAGAAAGCCACGGCUAACUACGUG
rnacentral:rRNA from 1 species